CAACAAGAAAAGAGUCAGCAAGAAAACAGUCAACAAGAAAACAGUCAACAAGAAAACAGUCAACCACAAACAGUCAGCAAGAAAACAGUCAACAAGAAAACAGUCAGCAAGAAAACAGUCAACCACAAACAGUCAGCAAGAAAACAGUCAACAAGAAAACAGUCAGCAAGAAAACAGUCAACAAGAUAACAGUCAACACCAAACCGGUCAAAAAGAAAACAGUCAACAAGAAAAGAGUCAGCAAGAAAACAGUCAACAAGAAAACAGUCAACAAGAAAACAGUCAACCACAAACAGUCAGCAAGAAAACAGUCAACAAGAAAACAGUCAGCAAGAAAACAGUCAACAAGAAAACAGUCAACAAGAAAAGAGUCAACAAGAAAACAGUCAACAAGAAAACAGUCCACACCAAAACAGGCAACAAGAAAACAGUCAACAAGAAAAUGCUGCUCCCCCGUGUCGUUCAGGAGCUCAAACAAAGUUAGCGUGCUACAAUAUCGGACAGUAGAAACCAACCAGAAAGUUCGGAAAAUUGUCUGAAUCCUCCUUUGGCC